GUAAAUAAUAAUUUGUUCUUAACUGACUUGCCUAGUUAAAUAAAAAAUACAACUUUUUUUACCUUGAGGGCAAUUUGACUACAUCCCAAGAGAGGAAAUGGAUUUCUACUAUGGAGGCAUCGAUGCAUAGCCUAUGCCAGUAAUGAAAGAUGGAGGUUUACUCACAGUAAACAUCAUCUCAAGGUGCAACAGAGAGAAUUUCCAAGGACCUCCAGAGCCUUCAUAUCAACUACAUGUAAUCUCUCCAGAGCGCAGAGAAGUGAGUCGACUGGGCCAUGGAACUCGAGAGCAGCACAUCAAAAACCUGCCACCCUGUUGUCAGCAAACAGUUCCCUGAGGAAGGAUGCCACUGUCAAGGCUUCAAAUUGUCAAAUUUGAAAUAAAGUUAGGUAUAAACAACUUAUUUUCAUUUUUUGGAAGGUUACAAAAAAUGUACUUAUCCUGUUAUUUUUACUAACUACUCUUGUGACUUGUAGAUUUUCUCUAUCAAGACAACACUUAGAGCAUAUGAUUCAAAAGGGUUAAUAUCAAUGAAAGUCUCCUAUCAAGGGUGAAUACAUUUUCAUUCAUGUAUAUGCGGCAGGGUAGCGGUUAGAGCUUUGGACUAGUAACCGGAAGGU